CUCAACCACCGCUAGUAGUCAUGCCUAUUUACCCUAUUCAAGACCUUCACUCUCCUUUUUCUGAUGCCGCUACCUUCUUGUCUGAUUCCGAGCUUCGAGAAUCCGCCUAUGAGAUUCUAAUUGGGGCUUGCCGGAGUUCCGGAAGCAGGCCCUUGACUUAUAUCCCCCAGUCAGAGAGGAACGCUGAUAGGGCUUCGGCUCCUGCUCUGACGCCGUCGCCUUCUCUGCAGCGGUCGUUGACGUCAACGGCCGCCAGUAAAGUCAAGAAGGCGCUGGGGAUGAAGUCGGGUUCGACGAAGAGGAGAAGCGAUGGUGGUGAGUCAGUGAUUGAAGGGAAGGCCAU
rnacentral:misc_RNA from 1 species